CCGAAGAUGUGAGAUAACAUGUAUGCUUCAACAUUUAUGACAGAAUACUAAAGAGGCCAAAGGAAAACAAGUAGAGUAAAAUUCCCAAUGUGGCUUGUAUUUAAUCAGGUUCCAACUCAAAAUACAUAAUGUGUUGACAAUGCUUUGAAAGGGUACCUGGAUAAUGGAGAUAGAAGUAGAAGAAGAAGAAGAGGAUCAACAGCAGCAGAUAACACAACAAUACAACAACAGUUCACAACAACAAGUUUGAAGUUCCAUCAGCAGCAGAUAACACAACAAUAGAACAACAGUUCACAGCAGCAAUUUUUAAGUUCCAG
rnacentral:lncRNA from 1 species